UGCUGCAUGGCUGUCGUCAGCUCGUGUCGUGAGAUGUUGGGUUAAGUCCCGCAACGAGCGCAACCCUUAUCCCCAGUUGCCAUCAGGUAAAGCUGGGAACUCUGGGGAGACUGCCGGUGAUAAACCGGAGGAAGGCGGGGGUGACGUCAAGUCCUCAUGGCCCUUACAUCCCGGGCUACACACGUGCUACAAUGGCAGGUACAGAGGGCUGCGAAGCCGCGAGGUGGAGCGAAUCCCAGAAAACCUGUCUCAGUCCGGAUUGAAGUCUGCAACUCGACUUCAUGAAGGCGGAAUCGCUAGUAACCGCGAAUCAGCAGGUCGCGGUGAAUACGUUCCCGGGCCUU
rnacentral:rRNA from 1 species